GAGAGCAAUAAAAGUGUCGGAAGCAUCAUCGUUUCUCUCAAAUUCAGUUCCAAUUUGGGGGAUUCUCACCCCUUUCGCCAUUUUCGUCUCCUUCCUCUUCGUCUCCUUCCUCCUCCUCUCCCCAUCUCGAGCACUAUUUAGGGUAGACAUUUCCGUGGCCGGGAGGUCGUGAUCGAUCCCCUUCGCUUACUAGUCAAGAGACGUUCACUUCCGUUUCUGCUGGCCUCUGGAUCGGGAUCAAACGAGGUGUUUGUCGAGCGUAGAGAUGGGGCAAGAUCUCGUGGAGAUCCAACCUCGGGAACUCAAGUUUACUUUUGAAUUGAAGAAGCAAAGUUCGUGUUCUAUCCAGCUUUCUAAUAAAUCCAAUGAAUAUGUUGCAUUCAAGGUUAAAACUACAUCUCCCAAGAGGUAUUGCGUGCGGCCAAAUACAGGGAUCAUAUUUCCGAGGUCGACAUGUGAUUUUACAGUUACUAUGCAAGCGCAGCGGACAGCUCCACCUGAUAUGCAGUUGAAAGAUAAGUUCCUGGUUCAGUGCACUGUUGUCCCAUACGGUAGUAAAGAUGAGGACAUUGUACCUGCUUUCUUCUCCAAAGAAACUGGCAGAUAUAUUGAAGAGAGUAAAUUGAGGGUUGUCCUUAUUAGCCCACCACACUCUCCAGUAUUACAACCUAUUAAUGGAGCUUUGAAUCAGGAGCCAGCUUUUGAAGUUCCUGUAUUGAAAGAAACUCCUGUUGUGAAAGAAACUCCAGCUAUAGAAACUCAAGAAACUCAAACUAGAGAAACUCCAAUUAUUCCAGAAGAAAUUCCUACUGUUUUAAAACAAAGUUCUGUUGUUUUGAAGGAGAGUCCUGUUUCGAAAGAAACUUCUGUUUCAACUGAUAAAGCAUUGAGCAAAGUUGAGAACUUUCACCUGUCACAUGUUACAGAAGAUGUUCAGAAUAUGAAGGCAAAGCUUAACAAUCUUGAAUCAAAGCUAGAUGAGAGAAGACAUCUUGAAACAAGAUCUGCACAAUCUAAGGUACUUGCCCAUCUUUGCAGGCUGAGCAGAUGAUCUUUAGGCUGAGGGAAGAGAACAAAUCAACCAUUCAGGAGAGGGAUAAGUUGCAACGAGAUAUGGUAUUUCUGAAAAGGAAGUGUGCAGCACGGGCUCAAGUCGGCUUUCCUUUAUCGUUUGCAAUAUUCAUGGCACUUGUCGGCAUGACACUUGGAUUCCUAUUGCAGUUAUAAAUAACGCCGAAACAUGAUUCUGGUUGACUCCGAUCUGGACAGUGCAUUAUGCUACAGUAGUUGAGAUUGUUAAGUGGUCUCCUGCGACGGCCCCGACUAAUCGGGGCAUGUUUUAUCUUAAUACUUCUGAUGGUUUUGCAUCAGAUGGAAGAACAUGUGUUUUGGUCAUUUGCAUGUAAAGAAUACCUUUCAUUUUGUAUAGAGGGAGAAUUCAGUAGUUCAUGUUUUGGCACCCUAA